rnacentral:rRNA from 1 species
CCGGCACGGGUGGAGUAACACGUAUCCAACCUGCCGUCUACUCUUGGACAGCCUUCUGAAGGAAGAUUAAUACAAGAUGGCAUCAUGAGUCCACAUGUUCACAUGAUUAAAGGUAUUCCGGUAGACGAUGGGGAUGCGUUCCAUUAGAUAGUAGGCGGGGUAACGGCCCACCUAGUCUUCGAUGGAUAGGGGUUCUGAGAGGAAGGUCCCCCACAUUGGAACUGAGACACGGUCCAA